rnacentral:rRNA from 1 species
GACGAACGCUGGCGGCGGGCUUAACACAUGCAAGUCGAACGGAAACGCCCUGCUUGUGUGGUGUGCUCGAGUGGCGAACGGGUGGGUAACACGUGAGUAACCUGCCCUUGACUUUGGGAUAGCUUCAGGAAACUGGGGCUAAUACCGGCUAGGAGCUCCUUCUGCAUGGUGGGGGUUGGAAAGUUUAGGCGGUGGGGGAUGGACUGGCGGCUUAGCAGCUUGUUGGUGGGGUAGUGGCUUACCAAGGAUGUGACGGGUAGCCGGCCUGAGAGGGUGACCGGGCACAUUGGGACUGAGAUACGGCGCAGACUCCUACGGGAGGCAGCAGUGGGGAAUAUUGCACAAUGGGCGGAAGUCGGAUGAAGCAACGCCGCGUGCGGGAUGACGGCCUUCGGGUUGUAAAACGCUUUCGCCUGUGACGAAGCGUGAGUGACGGUAAUGGGUAAAGAAGCACCGGCUAACUACGUG